rnacentral:rRNA from 1 species
UAUCAAUAAGCGGAGGAAAAGAAACCAACAGGGAUUGCCUUAGUAACUGCGAGUGAAGCGGCAAAAGCUCAAAUUUGAAAUCUGGGGCCUCACAGCCUCCGAAUUGUAAUUUCGCGAUACGUUUUCGACUGAAGGCUCUGCUUUAAGUUCCUUGGAACAGGACGUCACAGAGGGUGAGAAUCCCGUGAUAGGUGGAGCCUGACGCAUAUGAUACGUAUUCAACGAGUCGAGUUGUUUGGGAAUGCAGCUCAAAAUGGGUGGUAAAUUUCAUCUAAAGCUAAAUAUUGGCGAGAGACCGAUAGCGCACAAGUAGAGUGAUCGAAAGAUGAAAAGCACUUUGAAAAGAGAGUUAAAAAGUACGUGAAAUUGUUGAAAGGGAAGCGCUUGAGACCAGACUCAAUCUGUAGUGAUCAACUUGGCUUCUGUCAGGUGCACUUGCUACUUAUUGGGACAGCAUCGGUUUUGGCGGUGGGAUAAAGUCUUGGGGAAUGUAGCUAUCUUCGGGUAGUGUUAUAGCCUCUUGAGUAAUGCCACCAGCCGGGACCGAGGACCGCGCUUCGGCUAGGAUGCUGUCAUAAUGGUCUUCAGCGACCCGUCUUGAAACACGGACCAAGGAGUCUAACAUCUAUGCGAGUGUUCGGGUGGAAAACCCUUGCGCGUAAUGAAAGUGAACGGAGGUGGGAACCUUAGGGUGCACCAUCGACCGAUCCUGAUGUCUUCGGAAGGAUUUGAGUAUGAGCAUAGCUGUUGGGACCCGAAAGAUGGUGAACUAUGCCUGAAUAGGGUGAAGCCAGAGGAAACUCUGGUGGAGGCUCGCAGCGGUUCUGACGUGCAAAUCGAUCGUCAAAUUUGGGUAUAGGGGCGAAAGACUAAUCGAACCAUCUAGUAGCUGGUUCCUGCCGAA